GAACAAACAAAAAUCCACAGACACAUAAUACAGGAGAACAUGUGUAUGAGAACACUUCCCCAUGUGACAAGACAAGUUGAACUGUAUUUCUAUUUUAAGAUGAAACAUUUGUGAAGUCUCUAUCUGCUCCAGGAAGACAAAAGUUAUUGUUUUUGUUAGUUUGUUGGUUAUAAUAUUUUUGGGAAGUCAUUAUGAAAAUAUUUUAACAAGAAAUAUGAAGAUUGUUUAUAAAUUAUUAGCCUACA